GUGACAAGAAAUAACAAUACGGGGCUUAAUGUCUUGUAAUUGGAAUGAUGGGAAUUUAAACCUCUUCCAGAGUAUCAAUUGGAGGGCAAGUCUGGUGCCAGCAGCCGCGGUAAUUCCAGCUCCAAUAGCGUAUAUUAAAAUUGUUGCAGUUAAAAAGCUCGUAGUUGAAUUUCUGCUACAUUGCCUAUUCUCCUUUACGAGUUUGGGUCUUUUGUGGCUUAUCUGGGUUCGCUUGCGUUCCCGGUGUUUUACUUUGAGAAAAUUAGAGUGCUCAAAGCAGGCUUUUGCCYUGAAUAGUUUAGCAYGGAAUAAUAAAGUAGGACUUUGGUUCUAUUUUGUUGGUUUUAGGUACCAAAGUAAUGGUUAAUAGGAACAGUUGGGGGCAUUCGUAUUUAACUGUCAGAGGUGAAAUUCUUAGAUAUUUAACGGUCACAGGUCAGGUUCUUAGACUGAAAUUGCAGGACGCCCAGGUAGCGGCAAAACUCAGGUAUGUCUCUGGAUGACACCAAAUGUGGCCCUUGGCCUGCACAA
rnacentral:rRNA from 1 species